CGUACACUCCUACGGGAGGCAGCAGUGGGGAAUAUUGCACAAUGGGCGCAAGCCUGAUGCAGCCAUGCCGCGUGUGUGAAGAAGGCCUUCGGGUUGUAAAGCACUUUCAGCGGGGAGGAAGGCGAUACGGUUAACAACCGUGUUGAUUGACGUUACCCGCAGAAGAAGCACCGGCUAACUCCGUGCCAGCAGCCGCGGUAAUACGGAGGGUGCAAGCGUUAAUCGGACUUACUGGGCGUAAAGCGCACGCAGGCGGUCUGUCAAGUCGGAUGUGAAAUCCCCGGGCUCAACCUGGGAACUGCAUUCGAAACUGGCAGGCUUGAGUCUUGUAGAGGGGGGUAGAAUUCCAGGUGUAGCGGUGAAAUGCGUAGAGAUCUGGAGGAAUACCGGUGGCGAAGGCGGCCCCCUGGACAAAGACUGACGCUCAGGUGCGAAAGCGUGGGGAGCAAACAGGAUUAGAAACCCCUGUAGUCCCAUG
rnacentral:rRNA from 1 species